rnacentral:rRNA from 1 species
CCUACGGGUGGCAGCAGUGAGGAAUAUUGGGCAAUGGACGAGAGUCUGAACCAGCCAAGUAGCGUGAAGGAUGACUGCCCUAGGGGUUGUAAACUUCUUUUAUAAAGGAAUAAAACGAGGCACGUGUGCCUGUUUGCAUGUACUUUAUGAAUAAGGAUAGGCUAACUCCGUGCCAGCAGCCGCGGUAAUACGGAGGUUCCGAGCGUUGUCCGGAUUUAUUGGGGUUAACGGGAGCGUAGAUGGGUUGUUAAGUCAGUUGUGAAAGUUUGCGGCUCAACCGUAAAAUUGCAAUUGAUACUGGCAGUCUUGAGUACAGAUGAGGUAGGCGGAAUUCGUGGUGUAGCGGUGAAAUGCUUAGAUAUCACGAAGAACCCCGAUUGCGAAGGCAGCUUACUAAACUGUGACUGACAUUGAUGUUCGAAAGUGUGGGUAUCAAACAGGAUUAGAUACCCGAGUAGUC